GACCAGCAAAACAUGCACUGUGUGGGGUCCUGAGGACCGAGUUUGAGAACCUGUGCUCUAGAAGACUGAUAGUACUCCUGUUAGUAAGGUCAGUCACGUCCUGCUGAACCCUUCGACGGUCAGUCACGUCCUGCUGAACCCUUCGACGGU